CACGUAGGCACCAAGCGUUGUCCGGAUUUAUUGGGCGUAAAGAGCUCGUAGGCGGUUCGGUAAGUCGGGUGUGAAAACUUUGGGCUCAACCCAAAGCCUGCACUCGAUACUGCUGUGACUUGAGUCCGGUAGGGGAGUGGGGAAUUCCUGGUGUAGCGGUGGAAUGCGUAGAGAUCCGGAGGAACACCAGCGGCGAAGGCGGCAUCCUGGACUGGUCCUGACACUCAGGAGCGAAAGCGUGGGGAGCGAUCCGG
rnacentral:rRNA from 1 species